rnacentral:rRNA from 2 species
UUUAUUGGAGAGUUUGAUCCUGGCUCAGGAUGAACGCUGGCGGCGUGCCUAAUACAUGCAAGUCGAGCGAAUGGAUUAAGAGCUUGCUCUUAUGAAGU